AACGAACGCUGGCGGCAGGCCUAACACAUGCAAGUCGAGCGAGGACUUCGGUUCUAGCGGCGGACGGGUGAGUAACGCGUGGGAAUGUGCCCUUCUCUACGGAAUAGCCCUGGGAAACUGGGAGUAAUACCGUAUACGCCCUAUUGGGGAAAGAUUUAUCGGAGAAGGAUCAGCCCGCGUUGGAUUAGGUAGUUGGUGGGGUAAUGGCCUACCAAGCCGACGAUCCAUAGCUGGUUUGAGAGGAUGAUCAGCCACACUGGGACUGAGACACGGCCCAGACUCCUACGGGAGGCAGCAGUGGGGAAUCUUAGACAAUGGGGGCAACCCUGAUCUAGCCAUGCCGCGUGAGUGAUGAAGGCCUUAGGGUUGUAAAGCUCUUUCAGCUAGGAAGAUAAUGACGGUACCAGCAGAAGAAGCCCCGGCUAACUCCGUG
rnacentral:rRNA from 1 species